rnacentral:lncRNA from 1 species
UAGCAAUGAUGAGGGGGGAUAGGAGGGGUCUUGAUCCCGAAAUCCCGGACUUAAAAAAACGAAAUCCCGAGGUCCCGAAUUUAAAUAAAGCAAAUCCCGACAUCCCGAAAUCCGAAAAAAAGGAUUCCCGGACCCCGAAAGGGUCAAUCCCGAAAUCCCGAGCUUAAAAACACCCGAUCCCGGAGUCCCGAUAAAGGUCCUAUCCCCCCUCAAUGAU